rnacentral:rRNA from 1 species
AGCAGCCGCGGUAAUUCCAGCUCCAAUAGCGUAUAUUAAAGUUGUUGCAGUUAAAAAGCUCGUAGUUGAAUUUCGGGGUCAGUAGGCUGGUCGUGCCACCCGUACGUACUGGUCUCACUGAUUCCUCCUUCCUGAUGAACCGUAAUGCCAUUAAUUUGGUGUUGCGGGGAGACUGGACUGUUACUUUGAAAAAUUAGAGUGUUUAAAGCAGGCUAACGCUUGAAUACAUUAGCAUGGAAUAAUGAAAUAGGACGUUCGAUCUUAUUUUGUUGGUUUCUAAGAUUGACGUAAUGAUUAAUAGGGAUAGUUGGGGGCAUUAGUAUUCAAUUGUCAGAGGUGAAAUUCUUGGAUUUAUUGAAGACUAACUACUGCGAAAGCAUUUGCCAAGGAUGUUUUCAUUAAUCAAGAACGAAAGUUAGGGGAUCGAAGACGAUCAGAUACCGUCGUAGUCUUAACCAUAAACUAUGCCGACUAGGGAUCGGAUGAUGUUAAUUUUUAAUGACUCAUUCGG